rnacentral:lncRNA from 1 species
GGCCAUGGUUCACCAUCUCCAUGCAUUUCUAUGCUUUAUUUUUGACUUAGAAUGUUGUGGGUCCACGUCUGGCAUGUGCUCCACUACUUUCUCCUAUGGGUUGUCCACCUGGAUCAUAAUAAAUAAACAUAGCGUACCUUGGGGCCCCUCAUGGAUGGCCACGGUAUAGUCGUAGGCCAGACUUUGGCUGUGGAUAAUUUUCAUGCCAAGGCG